AAGUCGUAACAAGGUUUCCGUAGGUGAACCUGCGGAAGGAUCAUUACCCUUCUCUCGGGGGGCCGGACCCAGCAUUCAAGGCGUUUGCCCUGCUUGUUGACCCGCCCUGUCUGAAUAAACCCAUGUUUUUUACGCACCAUUUGUUUCCUCGGUGGGCUUGCCUGCCGAUAGGACAACCCAAUCAACCUUUUGUAAUUGCAGUCAGCGUCAGUACAACAUAAUAAUUACAA
rnacentral:misc_RNA from 1 species